UCUUAUGGAUGAGCAAUGAAAGUGGUUUCUUGAAAUGGAUCCCACUCCUGGUCAGGAUGCUGUGAA
rnacentral:pre_miRNA from 1 species